rnacentral:rRNA from 1 species
CAGCCGCCGCGGUAACACGUAGGGUGCAAGCGUUAAUCGGAAUUACUGGGCGUAAAGCGUGCGCAGGCGGUUAUAUAAGUCAGAUGUGAAAUCCCCGGGCUCAACCUGGGAACUGCAUUUGAGACUGUAUGGCUAGAGUGUGUCAGAGGAGGGUAGAAUUCCACGUGUAGCAGUGAAAUGCGUAGAGAUGUGGAGGAAUACCGAUGGCGAAGGCAGCCCCCUGGGCCAAUACUGACGCUCAUGCACGAAAGCGUGGGGAGCAAACAGGAUUAGAUACCCCGGUAGUCCCUGUCUCUUAUAA